GACAGAGGUGCCGAGCGUUAGGCGGAAUCACUGGGCUUAAAGCGUGUGUAGGCGGAUUUGUAAGUACCUUGUGAAAUCCCACGGCUCAACCGUGGAACUGCUCGGUAUACUGCUUAUCUUGUGCCACUUAGGGGCAGUCGGAACAGACGGUGGAGCGGUGAAAUGCGUAGAUAUCGCUUGGAACGCCGAAGGUGAAGACAGGCAACUGGACGUGCGCCGACGCUGAGACGCGAAAGCCAGGGGAGCGAACGGG
rnacentral:rRNA from 1 species